rnacentral:rRNA from 1 species
CAGCAGCCGCCGCGGGAAAACGGAGGGUGCAAGCGUUAAUCGGAAUUACUGGGCGUAAAGCGCACGCAGGCGGUCUGACAAGUCAGAUGUGAAAUCCCCGGGCUUAACCUGGGAACUGCAUUUGAAACUGUCAGGCUGGAGUCUUGUAGAGGGGGGUAGAAUUCCAGGUGUAGCGGUGAAAUGCGUAGAGAUCUGGAGGAAUACCGGUGGCGAAGGCGGCCCCCUGGACAAAGACUGACGCUCAGGUGCGAAAGCGUGGGGAGCAAACAGGAUUAGAUACCCCUGUAGUCCCUGUCUCUUAUAC